rnacentral:lncRNA from 1 species
GCGGGAUGGACGCGCUGGCUGUCAUGAUGUAGGAUCUCCUGACCCAGAACCAUGCCCGGCGCAGGGAGAACAACGAGCUUAUGGACCGGGUGCGGGGGCUGCUGUGCGAGAAAGCCUACCUGCUGGCCCGGGAGCGUUCGCCGGCCCACCUGGUGGCUUUCCCGAGACGUUUAACGGCGACUCCGCCCGGCCUCCCGACUUUUUGAUGCAGGGUUCUCUUACAUGACUUUCUUCCAGGCUAGAUUCUUGAAAGACAUCCUGAAGGUGGCUUUCUUAAUUAGCUGCCUCACUGGGUGGCGGAGCAGUGGGUAGUCCCCUACAUCGAGAGGGAGAGCCCCGUCCUGGCUCAGUACGUGGGCUUCGUGGACGCGCUGUAGCCGGGCCUUGGCCGUUGUGGGUAGGAAACAAUCGGGCCGGAUCCCCGGUGUCUGGGGAGCGGCUGCAGCCGGGGCCCGCGCGAGCCACUUCACUCCUACAAGCCCGGCUCACUAGUUCCAAGCUGCUGGACUUUGACCCUCGCUGGGAAGCCUGCUCGCCGCCUGUUCUCGCCAAUCUCUAUGCCUUUGCACUGCCCAGCAACCCGGCCACUGCCCAGGACCUGUUAAAAGUUGAAUGGACCUCCCAGAAUCACGCCCCUGCCACCGCCGUUUCUAGAGACGGCUUUUGGCCACCUUUGAGAAUCAGGGUCAAACUUGGAAGGGCCUGCAUUUGUCAUACCUCCUCGGACACUAAUUUGGAUAGUUCAGGCCCUGAGACAGCUUCCCGGAACCUUCUGGAUUUCAGCUUUGGCAAGCUUCCUCUGUUUCUGAGCCACCUCCAUCACCUGGGGUAC